rnacentral:rRNA from 1 species
CCUACGGGUGGCAGCAGUGAGGAAUCUUGGUCAAUGGACGAGAGUCUGAACCAGCCAAGUAGCGUGAAGGAUGACUGCCCUAUGGGUUGUAAACUUCUUUUAUAAAGGAAUAAAACGAGGCACGUGUGCCUUUUUGAAUGUACUUUAUGAUUAAGGAUCGGCUAACUCCGUGUCAGUAGCCGCGGUAAUACGGAGGAUCCGAUCGUUAUCCGGAUUUAUUGGGUUUAAAGGGAGCGUAGAUGGGUUGUUAAGUCAGUUGUUAAAGUUUGCGGCUCAACCGUAAAAUUGCAAUUGAUACUGGCAGACUUGAGUACAGUUGAGGUAGGCGGAAUUCGUGGUGUAGCGGUGAAAUGCUUAGAUAUCACGAAGAACCCCGAUUGCGAAGGCAGCUUACUAAACUGUGACUGACAUUGAUGCUCGAAAGUGUGGGUAUCAAACAGGAUUAGAUACCCCUGUAGUC